rnacentral:lncRNA from 1 species
CUGUGCCUCCCCGGGCCCACCGCACCCACUACGCUAUACCCCACUUUCAGACCUGGGUGCCUGCUCUCCACCGCCCUCUUCCCUCCUGUGGCACCCUGGACCCUCCAACCACAGGGAGGCCGGAGCAGGGCUUAACCCCGGACCAGCGCCUUCCUGCUGCUGUGGGCUAUGAACCCCAGACGGCCGGGCUGUGACCUCAGCACGGUCCUGAGCCUCUCUGAGCUGCUGACCUCGGCCACCGACUCCAGUCUGAGGCUCUGAGAGACCCGAGGGGCACAGCUAGGCCCCCGGCCCCCGGCUCGAGGGCCCCUGAUGCUGGUGGACAAGGCCAGGCUGCAGGGUGGGGUCGCCACCAGCCUCCGUGGGUCUCAGCUUCCCCAGCCACGAGAAUGACAGCAGCCCCCUCAGCCACCAGGAGGCUGUGUGAGCCCAGGAGGCCCGGCACACUGGGGUGUUGGGGGACCUGGGCCAGGCCUCCACUCCCAGACUCCCAGGGCGCUGGGCACGGGAGGCUGGGUGGUCAUGGGGUGGGGCCUCCCCAGCCCUCUGCCCGGGUCCCCAGCUGCAGCCCUGGAGUUGCCGCUCAGGACCUAGGAGGUGCAGGGCCUGGAGGUGGCCGAGGCUGUGACCCUCACAGGCCAGCCCACGCCAGCAGAUAAACACAGGGCCAGAUGGGCAGCAUGGCCAGAGGGGACAAGAUGGACAGGCGGGAGGAAGGGGCGGCGCCUGGGAGCAGCCCUGGGGACACUUGCCCCGGCUCUCCAUCUGAACUGCCCAGGAGCAGCUGCCCCACCCCUGCUGCCUUUCUGCGCGGCCCCUCUGGCUCCCACUGCCCUCGACAGCUGCUUCCCGGGGCUUGGAAUCUGGCUUUCCAUGUCCCACACAGUCCUGAAGCUGCUAGCAUGGGGGCUGGGGUUCGAGGACCGCCGUCCAUGUACUCAGACCGAGGUGCCCACUCCCCAACUCUCUGUCCCGGUGACCCCAAGCCUCGAGCAGGGUCCCUCCAUCAAGUCAGGCCAGGUGCCUCCCGAGGCUGAACCUGGCCUGCAGUUGGCAGUUCCAGCCCACAGCUGCGGUCCCGGUGUCCCGGCUGCAGGAGUGAGCCCUUCACUCACCUGUCACCUUCACCUCCUGGCUCCAGGAGGUCUCAGGGACACGCUACCUGCUGAGCACCUAGGGAGCCAGGCCCAGCAGACCCCAGCCCCUUCGGGGAGGCGGGCUGUGGGAUGCGCUCGUCUGGGGGCCUCUGUUCUCAUACGCUCAGUUGUUAAACUGCCAAGGCCACGGGGGAGGAGCCCAGGCCCUGACUACUUUGCUGUGGCUGCGUCUUUACCUCUCUCGGGCAUGGGGCCUGCGGCCCAGGACUGGCACAGGCUGCAUCCCCGGCAGGACCCGAGGUGGUGAACGGGACCUCUGAACCUCCACGGAGCCCGACCUGUGCAUUGAGGGGAAGUGGAGAGCACGUGCGGGCCUGGGAGGUGGCCUGGCCGUGUGGCUGGAGCUGCCGCCCACCCAGGCGCCCUUGGGUGCAGCUGGGUGCAGAGGGCAGGAGGGCAGCAGGAGGACUGAGGUCGCUGGCACCAGCCGCAGUGAGCGGCUCAGCCAGGGACGCAGUGUGCAGGGCACCAAACCUGGACCCUCCGGGGACAGAGCAGUGCCCUGUGAGCUCGCGCCGCGUAUGGGAGGGCUGUCAGCGAGCAAGGCCGAACACAAUGCAGCUGAGCACCUGGCCGUCCUUGGAGACGUGGGAAUUUGUAGUUGGGGGCUACAGGUGAGAAUCCAGGAGCCUGGCUCUGAGCACAGCAACCAGGCAACAGCAGGGAGCGGCUGCAACCCAGGAGGCCGGCCUCACUAGGGCCGGACACCAGUCCCUGUCCUUGGGCCGGCGGGCGGGCGCCAUCUGCCUGUCCGCCUCCCCGGCCUGCACUUUGUCCCCGCAGAACCCCGUGUCCCCGGGCUGUCCUCACGCCCACGUCACCUGCGCGGCCCAGAAUCCCUUGGAACCAGCCUGCCACCCGCAAAGGAUGCUGGCAUGCAGGGGCGGCAGGAUGGAGGCCUAGGAGCGCCAUCUGCCCAGCCGCCGAGACAGGAGGGUCGCGACGCAGCGGGAGGAGGAGCGCGGGCAGGACCGGGUGGGUUGGGGGCGGCGCCCGGGAGCUUCU